rnacentral:rRNA from 1 species
UACGGGGGGAGCAAGCGUUGUUCGGAUUUACUGGGCGUAAAGGGCGCGUAGGCGGUCAGCACAAGUCAGUUGUGAAAUCUCCGGGCUUAACUCGGAAAGGUCAACUGAUACUGUGCGACUAGAGUGCAGAAGGGGCAACUGGAAUUCUCGGUGUAGCGGUGAAAUGCGUAGAUAUCGGGAGGAACACCUGUGGCGAAAGCGGCUCACUGGACCACAACUGACGCUGAGGCGCGAAAGCUAGGGGAGCAAACAGG